rnacentral:rRNA from 1 species
CCUACGGGAGGCAGCAGUGAGGAAUAUUGGUCAAUGGACGAGAGUCUGAACCAGCCAAGUAGCGUGAAGGAUGACUGCCCUAUGGGUUGUAAACUUCUUUUAUAUGGGAAUAAAAUGUUCCACGUGUGGGAUUUUGUAUGUACCAUAUGAAUAAGGAUUGGCUAACUCCGGGCCAGCAGCCGCGGUAAUAAGGAGGAUUCGAUCGUUAUCCGGAUUUUUUUGGUUUAAAGGGAGAGUAGGUGGAUUGUUAAGUCAGUUGUGAAAGUUUGCGGCUCAAACGUAAAAUUGCAGUUGAAACUGGGAGUCGUGAGUACAGUAGAGGUGGGCGGAAUUCGUGGUGUAGCGGUGAAAUGCAUAGAUAGCACGAAGAACUCCGAUUGCGAAGGCAGCUCAGUGGACUGCAACUGACACUGAGGCUCGAAAGUGUGGGUAUCAAACAGGAUUAGAUACCCUUGUAGUC